ensembl:snoRNA
GCUGUACAGUGAUGACAACAUGGCUCCCUCUACUGAAAUCUGUUGAGGAAAACAACCAUAAAUGUUACCCUUUAUAUCUGAGUGUACAGC